rnacentral:rRNA from 1 species
AGUGAACGCUGGCGGUAGGCCUAACACAUGCAAGUCGAACGGCAGCACAGUAAGAGCUUGCUCUUACGGGUGGCGAGUGGCGGACGGGUGAGGAAUACAUCGGAAUCUACUUUUUCGUGGGGGAUAACGUAGGGAAACUUACGCUAAUACCGCAUACGACCUACGGGUGAAAGCAGGGGAUCUUCGGACCUUGCGCGAUUGAAUGAGCCGAUGUCGGAUUAGCUAGUUGGCGGGGUAAAGGCCCACCAAGGCGACGAUCCGUAGCUGGUCUGAGAGGAUGAACAACCACACUGGAAGUGAGACACGGUCCAGACUCCUACGGGAAGCAGCAGUGGGGAAUAUUGGACAAUGGGGGCAAGGCUGAUCCAGCCAUACCGCGUGGGUGAAGAAGGCCUUCGGGUUGGAAAGCCCUUUUGUUGGGAAAGAAAAACAGCAGGUUAAUACCCCGCUGUUCUGACGGUACCCAAAGAAUAAGCACCGGCUAACUUCGUG